rnacentral:rRNA from 1 species
UACGGGGGGAGCAAGCGUUGUUCGGAUUUACUGGGCGUAAAGGGCUCGUAGGCGGCCAACUAAGUCAGACGUGAAAUCCCUCGGCUUAACCGGGGAACUGCGUCUGAUACUGGAUGGCUUGAGAUUGGGAGAGGGAUGCGGAAUUCCAGGUGUAGCGGUGAAAUGCGUAGAUAUCUGGAGGAACACCGGUGGCGAAGGCGACAUCCUGGACCAACACUGACGCUGAGGAGCGAAAGCCAGGGGAGCAAACGGG